rnacentral:lncRNA from 1 species
GUUUUUAAAACAUGUUUCUCACCAGUGUGGUUAUAUAUGCCUCUAAUCCCAGUGAUUUGGGAGAGACCAAGGCAAAAGAAUGGCAACUUUGAGGCCUGACGGACUCUGUCUAAAAAUAAAAAAUGAAAAGGUCUGAGAUGUUGCACCUCUUGAGUUCAAACCCCAGUACCCCCAAAAAUGUUUAUCAUAUUUUUUCUAACAUCUAUAUAAUUGCUUGUGGUUUUUUCUGUGUUUAGAAACAAAGCAAAGACAUCAUCAACUGGUUAAAUCCUACUCAAUUUAAAACCCCAGUUGAAGUUCCAGCUCCUUCAAGAAAGACUGCUCGAUCCAUUUACCUCUCUAUCCCCCCACCAGGUAAGCUGCUACAUACUUUAUGGUUCUUUUUCUCCCUCCACCUCCCCCUUCUCCUUCUUUUUCUUCCUCUCCCUCUCCCUCCUCUUCUUCUUUCUUAUUGAAUUCUGCACUAGUUGAUGAUGAACUCUUUGAGGGCUAGGAUGGUGUCUUCAGCAUUGAAAAAAAAAGUUUAUUGGCAUAAAGUCCCAGGAGGAGAUGAGUAUUAGUUAAAACUAGGAUUCUUAUAUACUGUAAGAGUCUAACUCUAGGGCAUUCUGGAAAAGGCACAACUAUGAAGAAGAGAAAAUGAUCAGUGGUUGCUAGGAGUGUUGGGGAGGUGGGGAUGGACAGGCAGAGUGUGGGAGUUGUUUAGGGUGGUGAAACUGUGCUGUAUAAAACUAUAAUGCUGGAGGUAUGUCGUUAUAUGUUUGUUCAAACCUAUAGGACAUAUGACACCAAGAGUGAUUGUUGCUAUUAUCUAUUAUUUAUCAUUUAAGAAGUGCUAUAGAGCGUGCGGUCUGCCAUGAGAAAGUCACACUUAAGAUGGUGUCUGAGGACAGGGAGGAGUUAACCCAAUUAAAAGGCUCUUCAAAGAGCCUCGGGACCAGAGAGAACACUGUGUUCCAGGACCUAGAAGCAGACAAGAGAGGAACUACAGGCAGGUCAGGCUAGUUGGGGCAUAGUGAGCUAAGGAAAUAAGACUGGGGAGGUGAGAGAAGGGCAGACCAUAGAAGGUGUGAAGCCAAGGUUAGGGCUGGAGGUUGUACUCUAAGAAUGAUGAAAGCCACUGAAAUAUUCAAAGUAGGAGAGUGUACUGUCAGAUUUGAAUUGUAAAAAUUGAUAUUUAUAUAAAUCUACAAAUGUAUAUAUGUGUGUGUAUUUAUAUAUAUGUAUGUAUAGAUAUAUAUACUAUGUAAGAUAAUGGAUCAUGAAGAACAAGCUCAAAGUGGCUUGACCAGGAAAGUGAGUACUUUGACAGCCAGGUCAGGUAAAUGGUAAAUGUGAAAUACUUACCUCCUUGCCGGUAUACUCCAUGUGGUCAUGAGCCAUGCAGACAGUGGAAGAAGAAGAAAGCAAGCUUGCAAAAUAGGCAGAAAAUGUGAGCAGUCAGCUCAUGGGAUGAUAAAGUUGAAUAACUUGAUAUAGUUGAUGAUACAUAAUGCUUUUUAAAAUAAUCUUUACAUCAAUGAUGAGUAGUAAUAAAAUAAUCACCACAUUAAAUAUUUAAUGAGUGUUUGCUAUGUGUUGGGCAACUGCUCUCUGCUCUUUACAUAGAUGAAAUAAUUUCAUCCUUAUCCCAGUUAUCUGUUAUUUCAUUGCAAAUGCUCUAAAAUAUAGUGCUUAAAACAACAGCAAUACAUAUUUUGCUCCCAAACCUGCAGCUUGGGUGGGGGUUGGGGGCUGCAAGGAGAUUGUUGAUGAUCCACUUUGUGUUAGCUAGGACAGCUCAGAGUUUGAGGGGCAGAACCUCUGGAGCUUGCUCAUUUGCAUGCCUGCGAUAGAUGCCAGCUGUGUGCACUCUUCUUCUGUUGCACUCAACACACUAUAUUGCAAUCUAUUUGUUUAAUGUCCAAACAUCUGAUGGACUUUGGGGUCCUCCAGAGCAUGAACCAUCCUAUUUGUCUUUGUAUCACCACUGUUUGGGGCACCAUCGCACAGUGGCUGCUCCAUAAAUGUUCACUGAAUAAGGAAAAAAGGAAUGUAUUCUGACUCUUACUAAUAGAAUAUCUUCCUUCAUUAAAUAAGAAAUUCUCCAGCUUCUGCCUGAACACUCUUCAUGACUAGAUUUUUGUAACUUUCUAAGGCUCCAAUUUUCUUAGGAAAUUUUUCUUUGUACUUAGCUAGAAUCUGCUUUUGUGUAACUCCUGCUUAGCUGUUUCUGCUCAGGACUCAUAGAACUGCACAGCAUGAGUCUAAGCCAACUUCCACAAAACAUCCAGCCCCUCAGUGGUAACAUCACAGACCACCUAAAUCCUCUCUAACACCCCAGUUCUUACAUUGUCCCACAUGGAUGUAGUUUCCAUGGUUACCUUCCUUUAGAGUCAUUCUUAUAUGCACAGAGGCCCAGGAUAAAAUGCCUGGGGAAAUAUUAAUGGUGAGCCUAAAGAUGAAGGAAUGAAGUGGAAUGGAGCACCAUUCUGAGCUGAGUGUGCUGGAACAGGCCUGUAAUCCCAGCUAUUCAGGAGGCUGAGUUAGGAGGAUUGCAAGUUUGAGGCCAGCCUGGAUGAUUUAGCAAGAUCAGCUUAAAAUAAAAAAUCAAAACGGCUGGGAAUGUAGCUCAGUAGUAAAGCACCUGUGGGUUCUAUCAUUAGUGCCAAACACACAGACAAAACAAUAACAGCACAUAUUUUAAGGCCAUGGUAAGCAAAUGGGUUUAAAUGGGAAGUGCAAGAUGGGACUAUGGAGUGAAGACGCAGGAUGGGAGUAGGAAAGACCACAACCUAUCAUGGACCUCCCCUGGAUAGGAUCUUGGUGAGAAGCAGAUGCAGAAUGUGUGGGAAAGUCGUGUGAGGCAUUGACUCAUUAGAAAUGGAGAAGAGAAAACAGGAAAAUUGCAGAGGUCAGUUAAAACCAGUUACCCUCUUCUAUGUUAACACAAUCAUUUUUCAAAGCAUGCUGGCUAACCUGCAGUGCCUGAGCCCAGCCCCACACCUACUGAAUGUGCGUGCAUUCUUUGUAAACUCCAAGGUGAAUCUUAAGUACAUAGAAAACCUUGUUUUAAGGGCUGGGGUAACAUGGGAACUACUUACAUUCAGAUUUAGAGAGUGUUUUUUUUUUUAAGUAUUUAUUUUUUAGGUGUAGAUGGACACAACACAAUGCCUUCAUUUUUAUGUGGUGCUGAGGAUCAAACCCGAGUACCGCCCAUGCUGGGCGAGCGCUCUACCGCUGAGCUACAAAAGAGCUGACUUUGAUAAAAGAUCGAAUCACAAUAAUUCUUUUUUAAAAUUGAUUUAUUUACUUAUUUUAAUGAGAUAUAUAUGUACAACCCAGAGAAAUACAAAGUUGGGCUGCCUCACAAUAAUUCUUACAGGAAGUUCUCUUCUCCCCAGUUCCCUCCAGCCCCCCAUCUUCAGGAAAAAAGCAGUUAAGAUUUUAAAUUCAUUAUACAUUUCCAUUCCCAGUCCCCAGUUUCAUGGAAAUAUUAAAUCCUUUCCCCUUUUCUACUGAUGGAUUUUAAAACGAUUUUCCAAUGCAGUUUUAGUUAAAUGACAAAUGGAAAUUAAGAGUUGUUGUAACAAAUAGAUUUUUGGCUUAGAAUCAGAAAGAAACUAAAAUGGAAUUUGCCUAAAGCUAUGUUUUUUGCUCUUAUGAAAAUGUUUUAAGAAUUUAAAAACUGAAUAUCUUGAGGAAACAUCAGUGCACAUUUUUUAAAAUGAGGUUGCAACGGGUGCAAAAUGCUGCCUUUUUACCAAAAUUACUACACAUCACUACAAAAAAAUGUAUAAAGACAUCACUACACAAAAAUGUAAAAACCAAAUUUUUCAUGUGGUGAAACUUUUGCUUUAAUAAAAUGAUCCUGGGAUGGCAUUUCUUCAGAUAGAAACCUCUAUUUCUUUGCCUGUCUCUCCUGAAUAGUAAAACACAUAUUUACAGAUCAAUAGAUUCUUUUAAUGAGAUAAGGACAAGAGCAGUCUGAAAUGGGGAGAAAGCAUUAGCCAUUUUUUUCACCAGAAGUCCCUGGGAAAUAAAUAAAAUGAAUUCACCUGCCGGUUGCAGUGGCACAUGCCUGCAAUCCCAGUGGCUCCGGAGGUAGGAGGAUCACCAGACUCAAGUGAGGCACUAAGCAACUCAGUGAGAUCCUGUCUCUAAAUAAAAUACAAAACAGGGCUGGGAAUGUGGUUCAGUGGUCAAGUGCCCCUGAGUUCAAUCCCUGAUACUGAAGCAAAAAAAUAUGUAUUCACUUACAGCCUUUCAAAAGCACUGCAUUAAAAAGAAAGUCACUCACUGACUUGUUUAAUUGAGAUCUUCCACGGUAAAUCAAUGGGGGAUUUCAAGGUGGCCAAGACACACAGUCCCCCUACCUCAUCAACCAUCAACCACCAGAGCCCAAGGCCAUCUUGACAAAUGGAAUAGAGCAAAGUGCUUUGAGAAUGAAUGAAUCUGAUUGGGAUGUUAAAUUAGAUGUUAAUCUUAAAUGAUGGGCCAGAUUUAAAAGCUGUCUUUUCUAAGCUUCAGUUUGGACUUCCUUCUUGGUUUCAAAUUUUUGCAAGUUGUUCAGGAGAGUGAUUUUUUUUUUUAAAACAUGUAGUGUGAAAAACUAAGAUGAAGAGUAACUUCUUGCUUCUCAGUGUCUUGCUUGUGUAAUUCCCUACAAACUUGUUUUGAGGGCAGAGAAAUUCACAUUUAUUGAGGGCUGACUCUUUUGGAAGAAUUGGACCCAUUGUUACAGCACCCUCAAAAUGUGUGUAUCACUGUACUUGUUUUUCGAAUGAGAAAACUGAGGUUCAGAUAUGGAAUUUCAAGCCAGUAGAGCCUGCUCUUGCCACUACAGUCAGCUAGAAAAUGGAGGAGGGGAGAGAGUGACAGAUAAAAGGCUAAUUUCACUGACAAUUGUCUAUUGUUAGUGGAGCUAAUGGGUUGUGCCAACUAAUUAGACCUAACAAAAUGCUGCCUUUUUAUCCAAAAAAAAAAAAAAAAUGCAGGGUCUUAGAUGAAAGAAGAACUAGAGAUUCUUGAGAAAUAGGAGUUGAAAUUUUGCAUGAGAUUUCUUUGGUAAUAAAAUUAGAAUGAGUCAAACUGCAUGAAGGACACUGAGCAUUGCACUUCAAGCACUUUGUUAAGCUAUUUGUUUUACCUUUAGCAAAGUUUGUAAUAGAUAUUAAGGUAAGAUUACAGAAAAUUUAUUUUGUGAAAUAGAAAAAAAUUGCACAAUAUUCAUUUACACAACUGACAAAGCUUUUGUUUAUUUUUUUCUUCUUUUGGUAUUGGUGAUUAACCCAGGGGCAUUUUAUAACUGAGCUAUGUCACCAACCAUUUUUUUUUUUUGAGACAGGUUCUCUCUAAAUUGUUUAGGGUCUCUAUAAAUAGCUGAGGCUGGUCUUGAAUUUAUAAUCCUCCUGCCCUAGCCUCUCAGAUCACUGGGAUUACAGGCAUGUGCCACCAUGUCCAGCCUGACAAAACUUUUAACUCUAGGCAAGAAAUGAGAGAAAAAAAAAACUAAAGUAAUUGGGUCAGAGAAAUCAGAGAAAACCAGAGUUAAGCUGAAAAAAUAGUUUGGUAACAAACAAUAAUGUAGAAAAUCAAGAUAUGCUUCCUGAAGAAGGAUAAUUAGUCAAGAACAGAAAAUAACAAUAUUCAAGAUAAAUAUAUUCUAGUUUUAGCUUUGUUACCUAUAUCCAAUGUGGACCAGAUAGAUGUCAGCUACUCAAAGGAGUUUGAAGACUAUGAAUGUCUCAAAGUAGCUGAAGAGAGUCAACAUAUAACUCCUUCUAAAUUAAAACUCUCCAGGGCCUCAUCUCUCAAGGUAGCCAGUGAAGUUGGCUAUGGCAGAGAGAGAUUGAGAUUAACCUUCAGUUUUUAUUCACCAUCAAACUCUCACCCUAUUUAUUUAAUUUGCUCUGCAUUUAUCAAUAGAAGUAAGGAUAUACUAAUUAUAUAUCUGAGUUCAUAGAUAUAUACACUAUAUAUAAGUGUAUUGUAGAAAAUUUAUAUGUAUACAUGUUAUAAGAAAUGUUGGCUUCAAUAUACAGUUGCUGCCUUUGAUAAUACUAUUCUGUUGAUCUAGUUAAAGAAAUAAUCUCCAAUCACAACUUUGGUGGCAGAUUACCUUACAAAAGAGUUUCUAUUGUCUGAUGAGAUGCACUUUUCACUGGUUGUUUUUUUUUUUUUUUUUUUUUUUUUUUUUUUGCCACCAAUGAUGGAAGUGAUUUGUUAACUCUUCCCCCUGCCUCCACUGAAUAUCUCAGUCACUUCCUAACCAAAAGCAGAUCUAGACUCUUAAACAUCCAUCAAACAAAAUAUUACCCUAAAAGGUCCAGACAAACACUUUAAUUGAGAUUAAAUUGUGUAUGGGAUAUAACAUACUGUCUUUCCUAUGUUUAAGAUAAUUUAGUAUCUUUAAUUUAUUAAAUAGAUACUGUAUCAUAGCUGUUUAGCUUUUAGAACCUAUCUACUUGAGUUAGAAUUCUAGGUGUUCACCCAAAAUAAUACAAUCCUAGCUCAGUAAAACAAUGUGCUUAUUCUUUUAAAUAUAUCUGACAUUCAUGAAUAAAUUUAAGUGAAUUUGAGUUUGUACAUUUAAUAUUAUCUCUUUGUUCCUUUUAACAUGGGCUGUCCUGAUCAACUUUUAAAUUCUGCUACAAAAAGUAGGGAAGAAUUUGCAUGGAAGAUAAUGGAUUUUUAAAUAUGGUCAACUCCCACGUGCCAAGUGUGGUGGCACAUGCCUUUAAUACCAGUGAAUUAGGGGGCUAAGGCAGAAGGAUCACAAGUUUGAGGCCAACCUUAGCAACUUAAUGAGCCCCUGUUUCAAAAUAAAAAAAAUAGUACUGGCGUGGGAUGUGACUCAGUGGUAAAGUGUCCCUAGGUUUGAUUCUCAGUAUGGAAAUAAAAUAAAAUUGAGUAAGUAAAUAAAGUCAACUUCCAAAUAGCAGUAGUCUAUAUGACAUUUAAAUACCUAUGAUUUUUCAAGAAUGAGAAAAAUCAAUCAGAACUAUUUCUAUUCUGUAUGGUAUAAGAAAUUUAUUCAAAAUUAUUUAUUGACUUUCACUUCUGGAAAGAAUCUUAGGCAGUUUUAAAAAUAUAUGAAAUUUUUCAUGACAGUUAGCAAAAAGUAAUACAAUGGGAAAAAAAUUAGAUAAGCCAUGAGAUUAGUACUUGUGUCUUGGAAUCCUGCAUAAUUGCUAAAAGAGGGCCACGAUGACGAGUCUGAUCUUUCUGGCAGCUGAGGGGGCGUGGCCAAUUACAAAGUGGUUCAUAGGACUGUGGAAGAGAAACUGGUGAAGUCACUCAGACAUGCUGGGGAAGUUUAUCUCACUUAAGACCUGUAAUUGUUUGACAGAAUGGCUCUCCCUCAAUGCUGGGACAAAUCAGCGAUCCAAGGCCUAACCUGUGCCAUGGCAGCACAGAUGAAAUAGGAUCAGUGAGAAACAUUUUUUUUAAAAUAUUUUUUUAGUUGUAGAUGGACACAAUACCUUUAUUUGAUUUAUUUACUUUUUAUGUGGUGCUGAGGAUCAAACCCAGUGCCUCUAUCACUGAGCCACAAUCCCAGCCUCAGUGAGAAACAUUUUUAAAGCAGGUUUCCCCCAAAACCAUAAAAGUGCACACACACACACACAUACUCACAGCUCUCUACAGAAAGUCUGAGCAGCAUACUUUCUGGGGAAGUUUCUGGAUUAAAUUCUUUGACAAAAAUAUAGCAGGGUGGGCACUGAAUAAAAUCACCUGCUAAAUGUAGUCCUGAAGUCUGUCCGUUGUCUAGUGAGAGGUAGCUGCUAAGAUGGACAGCUUUAGCUGCAGAGUAGUUGUCGGUGCUUUGCAAGCCAGGUGCCCCUCCCCCCACUAUCUCACACCAGACCAGGCUCAUAUGUGAUCAAAGACAAUUUAAUCUUCUGUCUUCCAAUGUAGGGUACUUGCGCUGAAGAAACAACUUUCCGACACUUGGAGGUGGCCUCAGGAAGAUGUGUGUGGUGACUGGGUAUGUGAGUGUUAAACUUGCAUUCAGAAGAGAAAACUAGUACAAAUUUCAGGCCUAAAGAAUGGAGAGACAAGAUGCUGAGGAGGAGAGUGACAAUCACAGGCAUUGUGUUAGGCUCAAUGCUAUGUGUGACUUCUUGUGGUGCUUGGUAUAACAGAUUUUGUGGGGGUGCUAUGAAAAAGCUUUUCAUCCUCCAAAAUAAUUAAAUAAAAAGGAGGAUGCUCUGGAACGCUGCAUAACUCUGGGGAAUUUGUCUGCUCUGGAAAAAAGACUGAAAAUAGGACAUUGAAUAGGAUAUGACUUAUGAAACGUUUUAAGAUUUUUUAAAAUUCCACUUUAAGGAAUUUGCAAAUUCUUCAGUCUAUAAUGGUCAACAAUGACAUUCAAAUGGGAUGGACAAAUGCCUUCCAAUUUUUAAAUUCAAAGUGGGGGCACAUGAGGAUGAAGUAUGACCUAACACUAUAGGGGAAAGAAUUCUUCUUUUUACAAAACGUCAAAGACCCAACCAGAACAUAACAUUAAGUAAUAAAGGAACAGGAGUCAAAGUAAAUAUAUAACAUAAUGCCUAUUUUGUUUGCUUAUUUUGAAUAUGCAAAUCUAUAAUGAGGACCUCCAAGUAUUCUGGGUAAAAGAAUUUCAGAACUUCACUUCUUUCUGUUUCUUCUCAAUUUUCUAUAUUUAUUUAUUUAAGAACAUAUGAAUGGCCUAUGUAUGUGUGUACUAGUUAACCUCUAUUACUGGUUCCUUCUCUAUUAUUGGGGGGGAAUAACAUUGCUUUUAGAAAAUGCACACAGGUUAUAUCUAUGGUUGUUUUUCAACAAUUCCCUGGCUACAAAUAGCUUAAGUUGUAUCAUGUGAUGCUGUGGGUUGACUGCUUUCUUAGAUGGC